AUUGUAACAUCAGCCACUUAAACAUAUUGAAAAUUCAUACUAAAGAUAUGUGACUUAAAUUUUUUUUUAAUCCAUCAAAUUUUUAGAUAAAUUUUUACAUGCUUUAGGAAGCAUAACUAUUAUAUUAUUUUGAACUUGUUAUACUUCUUAUAGUCCCAGAUUUAGCCGAUCUUCAAGCAACAUGACUUUUAAAAUAAUUGCUUGUAAAACAAGAUGUGUUUGUGAAACACUGAUGCCCUCGUAUGGCAACAUAGCAAAGAUUAAACUUUUCUUAAAUGCAAAUUUAAUGUAUUGGUACCAAAAAUAGGGUAUUCUCACUGGAAAUACAAUUGUAAAAUAUGAAAGUAGGCCAAGGUUAAGGUUUUUUCAUAAGUACAAAAAUCUCCAAGGUCGAGGUCAAAAGGUCAAGGUAAUUGGUGUCCAAUGAAAGACCCUGCCACAAAGAAUACAAAUGUAAAGUAUGGAAGCCCUAGCCCUUACCUCUCAGAAGUUAUAGCCAUGGUUAAAGAUUUUUUAAAGUAGGUCAAACUCCAAGGUCAAGGUCAAAGGGUCAAAGUUCUUGGCAUCCAAUGAUGGGUCUUUUCACAAGGAUUACAUAUGUGAAGUAUGAAAGCCCUAUCCCUUACCGUUCAAAAGUUAUGGAAAAGGUUAAAGUUUUUUCACAAGUACAGAAAUCUCCAAGAAAUGGUAAAAAUUUUGGAAGGACGCAUUCUUUACCGAUACAUGAUGUAUUAAAUUUCAUGAUCGGUUAGCUUUGAAGUUUUAAAGAAUUUCACUCUGUUUCAGUGCUCAAACUUUAGAAUGUUGGAAUAAUAAACCUCAUUCCUGCAGCCAGCAAUCAGAUACAUUUAUAUGUAUAUAUAUAUUACAUAUAUCAUUAUGUACACACAUACUUUAAUAAAAGAGAAAAUUGUUUAUUUUGAAACAGCUGGACUGUUUAAAUUUACCAAAUUUAAAGAAAUGUUUUAUUUACCAAAGAGUGCUGUAAAUGUAUGCUGUGAGAAGUUGAUGUUAUGUAUGACAUUGUGUAAUGCUGAUUCUAUAUGAAUAAGUACUAUCACAAAUUACUAUGCAGUUAUUUAUGUGAAUCAGAUGGAAUGUUGAAAUAAAGAGAAUUUAUUGAA